rnacentral:lncRNA from 1 species
ACUCAACAGACAGCUCUCCUGGCUCAAGUUACCAUCAUCUCUUCUUCAAGGGUCUGCUUUGUUGGUUGUCAUGAUCCAAUUUUCAUGGUUUUAUGAUAGCUUUGGUAGAGUUCUAUUCCUUCUGAAUCUUGGUAACUUCUAGAAAGAUAAAUGCAUUAUAAUGUUCACUAGAUGAGACAGAAAGAGGCCACUGGUUUCAUUUUAUGUUUUGUCAUUACUAUGAACUCUUUGAUUUGAU